GUAACAAUUAGGAAAAAUAUUUUUGAAAAAAACCUAGACCUGACUCUGUAAAAUGAAUCUAAUAAAAAGCAUGCAGCCUUCCAAAUAGCUGGAAUAAGAAGAACUGCAAAAACAACAGACACAUGGUUCAUAUCCAAGGGAACAAGGUCUAGUGUCGCCAUCUCUAAGCGGUCUCAGGCUGUGUGUCCAACCUCGGGCAGAUGCCUUCCACAGCCCCAGCCCACGGGACAUGCCUCCACCCACAUCCUUGCUCCGUACCAAAGACAUGGUCAUCCCUGGGUUCCCCUGGCAGAAAGUAGAAGAAAGAAAAGAAGCAUGACCCUUCCUAAGGGAGCUGGUGAUUGCAAAAUCAGGAAUGACGAGCACAGACAGCCCACAAGCUCCUAGCAAGCAGUGGAAAUUGGAGCAGACUUCCUGCUUCUCUCUUAUACACCAGAGAAACAGCCUAAUGAAUGUGUUAGCAUGUAAGUUUAAUUUUAGACUAGGUCAUAUUAACACAUGAAAACAUUACUUGUCUCCAGAUAUUGAACAGGAGAAAGAGACUUAUGUGAAAAAGAGAAAGUAAGGCUUGUUGGAAAGCUGUCAUUGAUAGAGUUUUCCUAAUGCAAAAUUGAUGCUUCAGAGAAACCAAAAUCUUGAUGAAAAUGUUAUCAAUUUCCAUGAUGUUAGUUAGAAUAAAAUGACCAAUGGAAAAUAUUUUAAAAUAUUA
rnacentral:lncRNA from 1 species